UACGUAGGGGGCAAGCGUUGUCCGGAAUCAUUGGGCGUAAAGCGCGUGUAGGCGGCCAGAUAAGUCCGCUGUGAAAUCUCGAGGCUCAACUUCGAGCUGUCGGUGGAAACUGUCUAGCUAGAGUCCGGAAGAGGAGAGUGGAAUUCCUGGUGUAGCGGUGAAAUGCGCAGAUAUCAGGAAGAACACCCGUGGCGAAGGCGGCUCUCUGGUACGUGACUGACGCUGAGACGCGAAAGCGUGGGGAGCGAACAGG
rnacentral:rRNA from 1 species